AUUGAACGCUGGCGGCAGGCCUAACACAUGCAAGUCGAGCGGAUGAAGGGAGCUUGCUCCUGGAUUCAGCGGCGGACGGGUGAGUAAUUCCUAGGAAUCUGCCUGGUAGUGGGGGAUAACGUCCGGAAACGGGCGCUAAUACCGCAUACGUCCUGAGGGAGAAAGUGGGGGAUCUUCGGACCUCACGCUAUCAGAUGAGCCUAGGUCGGAUUAGCUAGUUGGUGGGGUAAAGGCCUACCAAGGCGACGAUCCGUAACUGGUCUGAGAGGAUGAUCAGUCACACUGGAACUGAGACACGGUCCAGACUCCUACGGGAGGCAGCAGUGGGGAAUAUUGGACAAAGGGCGAAAGCCUGAUCCAGCCAUGCCGCGUGUGUGAAGAAGGUCUUCGGAUUGUAAAGCACUUUAAGUUGGGAGGAAGGGCAGUAAGUUAAUACCUUGCUGUUUUGACGUUACCAACAGAAUAAGCACCGGCUAACUUCGUG
rnacentral:rRNA from 1 species